GCAGAGGCUGAAGAAGAGUUGGAGGCUGAUUCAGCCUGGUGGGGAGCGAGCUGAGGAGGAGCAGUCUGGGAAGAAGAAAACGUAUGAGGAAGAAAAUAGCAGAUGAGAAGAAUCAACCAAAUUCCGGAAGCUGGAAGGCAGAUGGAAGAAGGCCCUUGAAUGAUGCCAGCACCUUGAUAUUGGACUUUCCAGCCUCCAGAACCAUGAGCCAAUACAUUUCUGUUCCAUAAAAAUUACCCAGUUCCAGGUAUUCUGCUAUAGCAGCACAAAAUGGACUAAAACAAUGUUGGCACAAGACUCAGUGCUGGGCCUGGCAUGCAACAGGUCCUUGGAGUGGCGUGCUGUGUGGAUAAUGAAUAUUGGGGAAGGCAUCUCUCUCCAGCCCCUCUCAAGCUUUCUGUAGUCACUGGUCCACUCUGUAUUGCUAUGAAGAAGCUCAAGACCAGCCUGUAUCACUCGGGGUCCUGGCAGGAACCAGGUGCCACACUCAAACUGAGUAAUUGAAGAGGGUUUAAUAUGGGAGUUAUUUACAUAGGUGUGGGCUGGUGUAGCUGCCCAUAUGCCCUCAAAAUCACCUCUACAUGGCAAUAGCUACUUACUGCUAACAGAGUCUCUCUCUCAUUGCUGCAAAUAUUUUCUAGCCAUGCAAGAAACUCAGCCGGUCAUGUUGAACAAACUAAGAGUGCCAGGAAGUUAAUGUCCUGGAAGCAUUGCCAGAGGGGAGGGGGCAGUUAGAUUCCCCAGCUUCCUCGCUCCUCUGCUGGGUUAAGCCUGCAACAUAUUCAUCAUCUCCCAGAGUGCUGCCCAGGGAUAGAGCUCCAGGUGCUCAGUGUGGUGACCUGCUCAUGUCAGCUUCUUCCCCUUUCCUGUCUUGUUUCGCACCCACAUCCUUCCCAUGUUUCCUCUUCCCAAAUAAACUACUUGCAUUGAAAUCUUUGUCUCAGGCUCUGCUUCUGGGGAAACCUGAAC
rnacentral:lncRNA from 1 species